rnacentral:rRNA from 1 species
UACGAAGGGGGCUAGCGUUGCUCGGAAUCACUGGGCGUAAAGGGUGCGUAGGCGGGUCUUUAAGUCAGGGGUGAAAUCCUGGAGCUCAACUCCAGAACUGCCUUUGAUACUGAAGAUCUUGAGUUCGGGAGAGGUGAGUGGAACUGCGAGUGUAGAGGUGAAAAUUCGUAGAUAUUCGCAAGAACACCAGUGGCGAAGGCGGACUCACCUGGCCCGAUACUGACGCUGAGGCACGAAAGGCGUGGGGAGCAAACAGGGAUUAAGAUACCCC